rnacentral:rRNA from 1 species
GACGAACGCUGGCGGCGUGCUUAACACAUGCAAGUCGAACGGAGUGGCGAACGGGUGAGUAAUGCGUGACCGACCUGCCCCAUACACCGGAAUAGCUCCUGGAAACGGGUGGUAAUGCCGGAUGGUAUGGGAUGGGGUCGCGUCCUAUCAGCUUGAUGGCGGGGUAACGGCCCACCAUGGCUUCGACGGGUAGCCGGCCUGAGAGGGCGACCGGCCACAUUGGGACUGGGAUACGGCCCAGACUCCUACGGGAGGCAGCAGUGGGGAAUCUUCGGCAAUGGGGGGAACCCUGACCGAGCAACGCCGCGGGAGUGAAGAAGGUUUUCGGAUCGUAAAGCUCUGUUGUUAAGGAAGUGCGUCUUAACCAGAAAGGGACGGCUAACUACGUGCCAGCCGCCGCGGUAAUAC